rnacentral:rRNA from 1 species
UACGUAGGGGGCAAGCGUUAUCCGGAUUUACUGGGUGUAAAGGGAGCGUAGACGGCCAUUCAAGCCAGAUGUGAAAGCCCGGGGCUCAACUCCGGGACUGCAUUUGGAACUGUAUGGCUGGAGUGUCGGAGAGGCAGGCGGAAUUCCUAGUGUAGCGGUGAAAUGCGUAGAUAUUAGGAGGAACACCAGUGGCGAAGGCGGCCUGCUGGACGAUGACUGACGUUGAGGCUCGAAAGCGUGGGGAGCAAACAGG